rnacentral:misc_RNA from 1 species
GUACAUUAGUGCUUGCGCACGACAAUAGUUUUCAUUACAUUUGAGUGUGUGUAAAAAUCCUCUGCCAGCCGAAGCUAGCAAGAGGCCAGAAGUUCACAAGGGUAUUGGAUGAAAGUCACCCACGUGCACUUGCCGGGGCCAGCACUGAAGGUAACGAUUCACAAUCAAUAAUGAUCCUUCCGCAGGUUCACCUACGGAAA